rnacentral:rRNA from 1 species
UACAGAGGGGGCAAGCGUUAUUCGGAAUUAUUGGGCGUAAAGGGCGCGUAGGCGGCUUUUCAAGUGACGGGUGAAAUCCCUCGGCUUAACCGAGGAACUGCCUGUCAGACUGGAAGGCUUGAGACCGGGAGAGGUGAGUGGAAUUCCCAGUGUAGCGGUGAAAUGCGUAGAUAUUGGGAGGAACACCAGUGGCGAAGGCGGGUCUCUGGGCAAUUCCUGACGCUGAGGCGCGAAAGCGUGGGGAGCAAACGGG